UACAGAGGUCUCAAGCGUUGUUCGGAUUCAUUGGGCGUAAAGGGUGCGUAGGUGGCGCCGUAAGUCAGGUGUGAAAUUUCGGAGCUUAACUCCGAAACUGCAUUUGAUACUGCGGUGCUUGAGGACUGGAGAGGAGACUGGAAUUUACGGUGUAGCAGUGAAAUGCGUAGAGAUCGUAAGGAAGACCAGUGGCGAAGGCGGGUCUCUGGACAGUUCU
rnacentral:rRNA from 1 species